rnacentral:lncRNA from 10 species
GCCAGGCGCAGUGGCUCACGCCUGUAAUCCCAGCACUUUGGGAGGCUGAGGCGGGCAGAUCACAAGGGCAGGAGAUCGAGACCAUCCUGGCUAACACGGUAAAACCCCGUCUCUACUAAAAAUACAAAAAAUUAGCCGGGCGUGGUGGCAGGCACCUGUAGUCCCAGCUACUCGGGAGGCUGAGGCAGGAGAGUGGCGUGAACCUGGGAGGCUCCCACGCCCGGCUAAUUUUUGUAUUUUUAGUAGAGACAGGGUUUCACCAUAUCGGCCAGGCUGAUCUCGAACUCCUGACCUCAUGAUCUGC